rnacentral:snoRNA from 2 species
CCCCUCUGAGGAUUGCACCUGGAGAGUUUCCGGUACUCUACCAGUCUCGGCUACGGAAGGGAGAGCCAAGCAGAGAGGCCUACCCAUUCCAUUCCUAGCUUGGCCAGUGGCUACCGAGUGGAAGGCAAUCUGCUACAAGU